AUAAAACUGAAACAAACAUGUAUUUCUUUCAGUUUCAGCCAUUGUUUUGGUUGUGUGUUAAAAACCUUGACCUCUGUCAAUGUUUUGAUUUCAGGUGGUAAUACAUUCCAGAGUUUAUUACCUAUUAAU